AUUGAACGCUGGCGGCAGGCCUAACACAUGCAAGUCGAACGAGUGGCGGACGGGUGAGUAAUGUCUGGGAAACUGCCUGAUGGAGGGGGAUAACUACUGGAAACGGUAGCUAAUACCGCAUACCAUCAGAUGUGCCCAGAUGGGAUUAGCUUGUUGGUGGGGUAACGGCUCACCAAGGGGAAGAUCCCUAGCUGGUCUGAGAGGGUGACCAGCCACACUGGAACUGAGACACGGUCCAGACUCCGACGGGAGGGAGCAGUGGGCAAUAUUGCACAAGGGGCGCAAGCCUGAUGCAGCCAUGCCGCUUGUAUGAAGAAGGCCUUCGGGUUGUAAAGUACUCUCAGCGGGGGGGCGUUACCCGCAGAAGAAGCACCGGCUAACUCCAUGCCAGCAGCCGCGGUAAUAC
rnacentral:rRNA from 1 species